rnacentral:rRNA from 1 species
GAUGAACGCUGGCGGCGUGCCUAACACAUGCAAGUCGAACGAAGCACCUUUUGAGAUUCUUCGGAUGAUCGAUUGGUGACUGAGUGGCGGACGGGUGAGUAACGCGUGGGUAACCUGCCCUGUACAGGGGGAUAACAGCUGGAAACGGCUGCUAAUACCGCAUAAGCGCACGAGGAGACAUCUCCUUGUGUGAAAAACUCCGGUGGUACAGGAUGGGCCCGCGUCUGAUUAGCUGGUUGGCAGGGUAACGGCCUACCAAGGCGACGAUCAGUAGCCGGUCUGAGAGGAUGAACGGCCACAUUGGAACUGAGACACGGUCCAAACUCCUACGGGAGGCAGCAGUGGGGAAUAUUGCACAAUGGGGGAAACCCUGAUGCAGCAACGCCGCGUGAGUGAAGAAGUAUUUCGGUAUGUAAAGCUCUAUCAGCAGGGAAGAUAAUGACGGUACCUGACUAAGAAGCUCCGGCUAAAUACGUGCCAGCAGCCGCGGUAAUACGUAUGGAGCAAGCGUUAUCCGGAUUUACUGGGUGUAAAGGGUGCGUAGGUGGCAGUGCAAGUCAGAUGUGAAAGGCCGGGGCUCAACCCCGGAGCUGCAUUUGAAACUGCUCGGCUAGAGUACAGGAGAGGCAGGCGGAAUUCCUAGUGUAGCGGUGAAAUGCGUAGAUAUUAGGAGGAACACCAGUGGCGAAGGCGGCCUGCUGGACUGUUACUGACACUGAGGCACGAAAGCGUGGGGAGCAAACAGGAUUAGAUACCCUGGUAGUCCACGCCGUAAACGA